CUGCUUUGGCAACACAUAUACUAAAAUCAGAACUAUACAAAGAAGAUUAUUAUAAUCCCUGCACAAGGAUGACACGCAAAUUUGUGAAGCACGUUUGAUCAUG
ensembl:snRNA U6 U6 spliceosomal RNA